UUAAACACUUGAGAGAGUGUGAGAAUUUUUAUCUACCUUUUUUGUUGAGAAUUUUCAGGUUAUGAUGUUUGGUCUCCAAAGGAAAAGUAACAAGGAGAAGCACCCACGACUUUCUGUCUCUCAAACCUCCUUUAAAUAUGCUUUGAAUACUUUUGAUGAGUUUGUUGAUGUACAGGAAAAACCAAACAGGUGGAGCAAAGAGCAUGUCAAUACCCCCAAAGAUGUGGCUGAUCCACAAAGGCAACCUUUUCAGUUUGAUGUCCAAGGAUUUUGUGAUAACUUUGUGAAGGGAGUUGACAAAGCCCUCAAGGAUAUCAGCAAGAGCCCAAAGAAGAGCGCAUCCACUCGUGCCCCAAUAGCUGAGCCAUCCUUGUUCAUCAGUAAGAAAGCCCAAGGUGAAUCUGAAAACCAUUUUGAAGAACUUAAAGAUUUUUCAGAUUCUCUACCCAUUUUUGAUGAAUCUGAUGAAGAGCUAAUUGAAAAAGAUUGUGAUCUUCCUUCUCUUGAAACUGAGUUUAAUCUUGAUAAUGAACAAUCUAUUGUAGAACUAACUGUUUUGCAACCGGAGCUUCCGAGUAGUCUUGUUUUAUCUCCACAGGUUUUUGAGGAAGAGCCACUGGAUUUUCCACAUCAGUGCCCAUGUCUUGACACAAGGAUAUGUUUGGAUGAUUAUCUAGGUCCUAUCUUUGAUGAGGAGGACGAACCUGGUCCAUUCUUUGAUGAAGAAGCAACAAGCAUCACAUCCAUUGCUAUGGAGAAUUAUCUAUGCUUUGAUCCCGGUCCAACUCCUGCCCCUUUACCUCCUGAUCUUCAAGAGCACUGUGAGGAACCUUCUUAUCUUAAUUCUCUGCCUGACAUGUUUAUGAAAGUCAGUACUGAUGAUGUAAUUCGUUUUUGUCUUGACAAGAUGAAAGUUUUUUUGGUUUCAAAAUCUGUUUUUGAUAACAUGAUUAAUUCUUUAAAAAUCUUUGAACCUGAUAAAUGUCUUGAUCAGUCACGUUUUCAAAAUGUCAAUUGCAUCACUUAUGGAAUUAUUUUGAGCUUUGAUCAGUUCUUGGAACAUAACAAAGGUUUUCAUCUUCUUGGAAGGCCAUUUGAUCUUGAUUUGCAAAAAACUGAUUUUUGUGCUGAAAAAUCUCUUGAUUUGUUUGUUUGCAAAGGAAAUGGCUUUCAUCUGAGUUCUUCUAGACAUGUACUGAUCACUGAUGAAUUUGCAUCCAACUCAAAAGGUAUUCACUGAGGCUUGGAAUCGCAUGAAAAUCUUCACGGAUGAAGAAGUUAUGAAUUUUACAAAUCGGAGGUUCUUCAGUCCAUCUAUCCGCGAGUACCAGAUUUCUAAAGGAGAUUCAUGCCCCAGAAAGAAUCGGCGUGAGCCAAAACCGAUCCUCCAUGAACCAAAGGUGUUUCCUCAGUCAUUCUCCUGUCUAAACCAAAAGCACUGUAAGGAUCAUGAGUUGAUUGCCUCUACUCUUCAUGAAAAUGUUUUGAAACCGAGAAUUUCAAAGAGAAAACAUAUUCUUACGUGGUUGAAAAACGUUUUGCUCAAACCUUUUCAUGAAUUGUGUUCAUUGAGCUGUGCUUUCAAAGAGAUUUGGUUUAGGAAAAGGCAUGAACCAAAAUUGCUUAGGCCAAAGAAUCAAUUUGAUUUCAUUCAUGAUAAGAAUUUUUCAGAUUUGGCAUUGUCUCUUUCUUUUCCUAACCGUUUCACAGCUUGGCCUAAUUUUAAAAUUGAUAAACCAAAUUUUGGCGAUCAGUUUACUUGUUUGAUGCUUUCCCACGUGCUUGAUGAUUAUCCUAAGGGCUUGGAUCCUGAUCUUGAUGUCCUAAAGAUAGAGAAACCUUUUGAUUAUUUCAUUCGCAGAUUUGAUGUGGUUUCUCUAGUUGUUUUGAAUUAACAGGAUAAGCAUGAUCAGUUUCCAAGGAGGGCAAGCGCUGGAGAACGCCUAAGUAAUUGUGUUCUUCGAACAUGGAACUGGAAAUACUUGAGGGAAACAAGUUUAAAACUCCAAGGAAGUUUCUCUCCAAAUUUAUCCUUCAUUGAAUUUUACAUGUUUUUAAAAUUCUUUUUGUCUGAUUUAUUUUCUUUUGAUUCAGGUAAAACGGAUUUGAGGACAAAUCCUUUUGAAGAGGGAGAGUAUGAUGUGCCCCAGCCCAUGGACCAGUUCGAGGAAUCAGACCAGCAUGAAGAUCAGAACGUUCCAGACGUCCCAAUUGAGGUUCACUCUUCCGACCAGACCAUACAGACCGAUCGGGCCGUUUACUGGAUCGACCCGCGAACAUUUGGAUUGGAGCUUCGGCCAGAUCCACGACCAGAUGAUCGAAAUAACCGAACUGAAGCUCGUCUUUCCCAGCCAAUUAAACAUUCUAAGACUGAUAGUCGAGCCAGAUUCAACUUGGGACGAGAAGAAUCCGAAGAUGUUCACAUAUUUUCUCUUAUGGCCUUUUUGGUGCGUCCUGCGUGUCUCGAAGGCUGUCCUAAAGUUCUUGCUUCAGUGUCCGACCCUAUGAUGGAUUUUUAUCUUUCAUAUUUCACUAAGGCAUGGAUACUUGAGCUGUCCAAGGACUUGUUUCACAACAGUGCACAACUUGGUUCAGCAGAUCGUCCGAUAGUACAGUCCGUUCGUGUUAAUCAGAACAGUACACAACUUGGUUCAGCAGAUCGUCCGAUAGUUCAGUCCGUUCGUGUUAAUCAGCCGACAGGCCGUGUGGAUCGUCCUGAUCAUGUCCUGAUCCUUACACCAAGUACCAGCACGACCAGAAUGAAACUGGACAAAAGAGGAGAAGUCACUUUGACAAGUCUUCAUGAAUUUCACCAACUUUGACUCCCUUUAUUAUUUUCUAGUCAAUGUUGUCUUUUCCUAGGUUUGUAUUUCCCAUAACUGUUUAUGGCUUUCUUUGACUAUAAAUCCUAUAUAUAUGGCUCAUAAGCCACGAAAUAAAACAUAUUGGUUUCCCUUUUUUAUGAGUUUCUCUCAUUGUUCUUUGUUUAGAACACUUCUUCGUUUCUUGGUGAGGUUAUCUCCAAGUUUCGAUCCUUCUUUUGUUGGACCGGUGCGUCACAUCCGUCAACGAUCGAAGUCUGGUAGUAUCUUUGGGCUAUUCCGCAACCCUUAGUGUCACCGUUAAUACCAUCAGUUCUCAAUCCUCUCGGAUCUGAGUUCAUAUCAACCAUACCGAAAGAGUGAUCCUUAUUUUGGUUCUAUUAAGUGGUAUCAGAGCCACUCUCUCGGUAACUCUAUUUCAUUCCAUCUUCUCAUCUCUCCAUAUUCUUCAAACACUUCUUCUUCUACCUUUCUUGAAUCCGGGCCCCUCAUUACCAUCCAUAUAUUAAAAAAAAAUAGAGAAAAAGAAAGAUCUAUCAAAAAAAAAAAAAAGAGAUUCAAAAGAUUGAUUUGUGGAUUGGUGGUGGAAGACAAAGCCUGCUGGAUGAGGAGAAAUCCAGCCUUUCAGGUGGUUAAGGCGGUUUCCAAAAUCAAAAUCUCUUAUCUAUCUAUCUUGAGAAAAACCCUUUGUUUCCUUUGGAUCUACCCAUUGGGAUUCUUGAUUUGUUCUCUUAGAACCUUGAGAAGAAACUUGAGUGAUUACCAUAAAAUCUGAGAGAAACACUUGAGUGGGUGAGAUUAAACACUUGAGAGAGUGUGAGAAUUUUUAUCUACCUUAUUUGUUGAGAAUUCUCAGGUUAUGAUGUUUGGGCUCCUCAGGAAAAGUAACCAGGAGAAGCACCCACGACUUUCUGUCUCUCAAACCUCCUUUAAAUAUGCUUUGAAUACUUUUGAUGAGUUUGUUGACGAGCAGGAAAAACCAAACAGGUGGAGCAAAGAGCAUGUCAAUACCUCCAAAGAUGUGGCUGAUCCCAAAAGGCAACCUUUUCAGUUUGAUGUCCAAGGAUUUUGUGAUAACUUUGUGAAGGG
rnacentral:lncRNA from 1 species